CCAGCACCCCGAGUGGUCGGGACGAUUAUUGGGCCUAAAGCAUCCGUAGCCGGUUUUACAAGUCCUCCGUUAAAUCCAACUGCUUAACAGAUGGGCCGCGGAGGAUACUAUAAGACUAGGAGGCAGGAGAGGCAAGCGGUACUCAGUGGGUAGGGGUAAAAUACGUUGAUCCAUUGAAGACCACCAGUGGCGAAGGCGGCUUGCCAGAAUGCGCUCGACGGUGAGGGAUGAAAGCUGGGGGAGCAAACCGGAUUAGAUACCCGGGUAGUCCCAGCUGUAAACGAUGCAGACUCGGUGAUGGACUAGCUUCAUGCUAGUCCAGUGCCGCAGGGAAGCCGUUAAGUCUGCCGCCUGGGUAGUACGGUCGCAAGACUG
rnacentral:rRNA from 1 species